rnacentral:rRNA from 1 species
AACGCGAAGAACCUUACCUGGGCUCGAACGGCUUCAGACCGUCGUGGAAACACGAUCUUCCCCUUAAAAGGACUGGAGUCGAGGUGCUGCAUGGCUGUCGUCAGCUCGUGUCGUGAGAUGUUGGGUUAAGUCCCGCAACGAGCGCAACCCUUGUCCUGUGUUGGCAUGCCGCAAGGCGCAACUCUCAGGAGACCGCCAGCGAUAAGUUGGAGGAAGGUGGGGAUGACGUCAAGUCAUCAUGGCCUUUAUGUCCAGGGCCACACACGUGCUACAAUGGGCGGUACAAAGCGCUGCCAACCCGCGAGGGGGAGCUAAUCGCCAAAAACCGUCCUCAGUUCGGAUUGCAGGCUGCAACUCGCCUGCAUGAAGCUGGAAUCGCUAGUAAUGCUAUAUCAGAACGAUAGCGUGAAUACGUUCCCGGGCCUUGUACACACCGGCUAC